CCAACCUCAGGUGAUCCGCCAGCCUCGGCCUCCCAAAGUGCUGGCAUUACAGGCAUGAGCCAGAGCACCUGGCCCUCAUUUGUCUUUCAAAGAACUCAGUAAAGGUGGAAGGGACAGGGAAAGAGACUGAAUUCAUAGCUGGCUAGCAGGGGCCCAGAGACAUCAGAUGGUGUUGCUAUUGUUCUUACUACUACCACUGUUGGAACCUUUACUGACUGCUUCACCAGGCACUGCACUAACAAUCCCAUUUCAUCCUCACAACCUCCAUAGGAGACGGUUACCAUUAUUACCUCUAUCGUAUAGAUGAAAAACAUGGGGUAUUAAGGGUUAAGUGCUUGCCUAAGAUCACGUAGAGCUGGGAUUUCAACACCCAGGUAUAUCUGAUUCUCUAAGCCCAUUCUUUCACUGGGGGGUAGGGGCAAAGAUAAGGAGGAGGAAAUUAAUCAUUUGUUGACAUUUUGAACGGAUGAUACAUUUGAAUCGUCCAAAACUCAGAAAGUACAGAAGGGAAACAUCUCCCCCCAACACUGUUCCUCUCUCCUGAGAUGUUUAUGAAUCCUUACAAACAUGUUUAUUGUAUAUUCCCAUAAUACAUACACACACACACACACACAGGCUUCCUCUCUCAACACAAAUAAUAACAUACUCAAGCUAGUCUUCUGUACCUUUAUAGUACAAUUAUCCUAACCGCCACUUGGGACUUGGCCAAGGCCACAGUCAAAUAUGGGCAGGGCGGGCACUUGGCCUGUGAGCUCUAUGUCCAGUGCUCACUGCCCACGGCGCCCCCCAACUCACCCACAGCAGCCGACUCAGCCCCUGUCAGCCUCUAACCACCACACACAAAAGCAGCAAGAAAUGGCCAUGCUGUCUUCUGGGCAGGACACUCCAUCCUGCAGAAGGGACUUUUAGGCUCACUCCUCCAUCUGUGAAGCCGGGUUCCCAGGGGACGGGGCAGGUGGUUGGACUCACCCUGUCAGCCUUCUUCUUCUGUGUAGCGACAGCAGAGAGAUCCCGCUCUAAAUCUCUUGCAAAAUUCCAUGAAUCAUGCAGGCGGCCGACCAGAUGCCUGCACUCUCCUGGAAUGAGAGACAUUCAGAUGCGGCCCAAAAGAUUCCCCCUAAAGGCCUGUCAAAGUGCCAGGUUCCCACCUUCCAACUGCUGGACAGCACGCUGGCUGUAAUAGAGUGCCGUCUGAAGCUCAGUUUUCUCACAUGUAAGGAUUCGUAUGGUAUGAACCUGGGCCUUUGGGAGAAAAGACAAGCAAGUGCUGAAAGAGAAGCAAAGAAACCUUCUCCAGAGGACAGGAGGGAACUUCACACCUUCCACUCACCUCUAGCUCCCUCCUUAGGGCUUCCUGAUGUUGGUGGCUUGCCUUCUUUUCCUAUAGAAAGAGGAAUACAGAGCUCUUACUACGGGGAGGCAGAGAUGGCACAGCAAGAGACAUGCCCCCAGAAGGGCACCACUGCCCCAGGACAGGCCCACCCAUGGGACCAGGUUAUCAGGGACCCUGUGGGGACGGGGUGGGAUCUGGGGGGUGAGCCUUCUUCCCCAGGCUGGGAGUGGGUGAGACGAGACUGGGGCCUCUAUGGCUGAGUGUCCUCCAAACCCAGCAGUCAUGUGAGCAAACAAAGAAAUCACGUUACUUCUUCCAGCUGGGCUCGGUUCUGUUGUUUCUGUGGGGAGAGUCAAAGGAAGGUGACUGAGGGUGGCCCCUUCAACUCUAUUCCCCAGGCCAGGAAGCAGUAGGCAGGGGCCAGGGAUGGAUUUUAAAGGUAGUUCUCAGACCCAAUGGGAACUCGAACUGGUAAACUCUCCUCAACUCCCAAAGUAAAAGGACUUGAGUCUUUGUUGGUUUUUGCCCACAGCCACAGAACUCAAAGUCUGAAACUAGAUUCUCUCAAAAAGACAGUCACAGAAACCUUCAGAGAUGGAGUGUGAGAAGAGCCCACGCUUCUGCCAGCUUGUGAUUUAGAAAGAUGUGAAAAGAGAGGCCCAAAGAGCUCAAGGAAUUUGCCCUCUAUCAUAUCCCCAGCAGAUGGAGAGGAUUCAAACCCAGAAUUCUUAAGCAGUGCCUGGGAGUUCUUCCACAAUCUUAACAAUUACCUUCCACCACCCCUUGGACCCUCUGUCCCCAGGAGCCUGGCCAGCCAAGACUCACAUCCUCAGGAGUGUUCAGUAAACUUCACCGUCUCUGUAUCUGUGUCCCUGCAUCUGCUCUCUGCUCGGAAUGAGGCCUCAAACUUAUUGGAAAUGGCUGUCCAGAAAGUCACAGAGAUGAGGGUCCGUGUGGGCAGAACCAAGGGCAUGCAGAUCCAUAAGGGCCUGGUUCAACUUCUUCUCCAGACAAUGAUGGCUUUGAUGGCAUCCGUGGUUUUCCGCACUCAUCUAGAAAUGGCUUCUGCACACCUUGGAAGAUGGUGCAACUGGUUGUGCAUUUCCAAGAGACACACCGUGCCCUUGUGCUUCUGUUGAACCAACUCACGGAAGAACCAAAGCGCUCCAGGGCCACUCAUUGUGGUUAAAAUAGAAGCCCAGGGAAUGGUAAGUGCAGGAGACCUGCCAAUGCACAUGGACCAGGCAGCUGACCGCAGCUUCCUCCUCGGUGGAAUCAUUCUCACGAAUCUAGGAGCUCGUGGUUGGUUGGCAAUAAGGAGCUAAACUUAUUUCUAACAACAACGGUGUUGGCUGGUCCUGGAAGCAGGAUAUGGCUGAGAAGAUGGUCCUGGAGGUUGCAACUGGAGGGGUGAUUGGAGAUUAGGAGAGGCUGGAAGAGAGGGAAUCCUCAGGUCUGUUCUAUCCUAACACUGUCGAAGCAAGGGACAGAUGUGUGAGACCACCGGGAGUGCUGCCUAGACCUGCAUUUUUUCUUUUUUUUGAGACAGAGUCUUGCUGUGUCGCCCAGGCUGGAGUGCAGUGG